rnacentral:rRNA from 1 species
GGCGGCGUGGAUAAGACAUGCAAGUCGAACGCUAAUUUCAGGGUAGCAAUAUUCUGAGGUUGGAGUGGCGCAAGGGUGCGUAACACGUGGGUAAUUUGCCGUGAAGUUGGGGAUAACUCGCUGAAAGGCGAGCUAAUACCGAAUGUGAAAAUUGGGAGGCAUCUUCUGAUUUUCAAAGUUGGGGACCGCAAGGCCUGACGCUUCUCGAUAAGCCCGCGGCCUAUCAGCUAGUUGGUGGGGUAACGGCUCACCAAGGCUAANACGGGUAGCUGGUCUGAGAGGACGACCAGUCACACUGGAACUGAGACACGGUCCAGACACCUACGGGUGGCAGCAGUCGAGAACUUUUCUCAAUGGGCGAAAGCCUGAAGGAGCGACGCCGCGUGGGGGAUGAAGGGCUUCGGCUCGUAAACCCCUGUCAUUUGCGAACNAACCUUAUGGCUUAAUA